rnacentral:misc_RNA from 1 species
AAGGACUGGAGAGGUGGAAGAGCUGCUUCAUUCAACAUCAUUCCUAGUAGCACUGGAGCUGCUAAGGCUGUUGGGAAGGUGCUGCCUGCUCUGAAUGGGAAACUUACAGGAAUGGCUUUCCGUGUUCCAACAGUUGAUGUCUCUGUGGUUGACCUCACGGUGAGGCUAGGGAAGAAAGCUUCAUAUGAUCAAAUAAAAGCUGCUAUCAAGGAGGAAUCAGAGGGAAAG